rnacentral:lncRNA from 1 species
UACGAUUGAUUGUAUUGUAUAUGUUUUGAAUUUGAAUGGUUCUUGGAAGUUUUGCCAGAUCCCAGUCAGUGUUUUAGUGUUUUUCUUGAAUAUCAUGCAGAUGAGUGAUGACUAAAUAAUGAGAUUUGGCCAUAUUUUUUUUUACAGGGUAUCUGCUUUGAAGAUGGCCAACGUCAAAUUUCUUUUCAUUAAUCCAAUGAACAAUACUGGUGGGUUUUCGAAUGGAUGUGACGUACAGCAUGCGACCGUUCAUCCCUGGCAGGAGGAUCAGGUGGAUCGGGUCCAGAAGCCGGAAGCCCAUCAUACGCUGGUUGAGAGUGACGAGUUGGUGGCGGCCAAGACGAUUCUGUCGACUUAGUAGCUGCCGCAGUUGUUGCGGCCCAUCAAACGAGACGUCCAGCGGGUGAACCAUCGACGAUGGCCGAUAUCGACGAGAAAGUGAAUUGAUCGGAUCCAGCAUUCCGGCUGCCCACUGGCCAUACUCGGCCAGCCAGUCCGUGACCCAGCGUUGGUUGAGGGGUGAGCUGUCCAACUUCCAGUAUCUGAUGCACCUCAACACGCUGGCCGGCCGCUCCUACAACGAUGUGAUGCAGUACCCGGUGUUCCCCUGGGUCCUGGCCGAUUACGAUUCGCCCGAGCUGGACCUCUGGCAGCCGUCCACCUUCCGCGACCUGUCCAAGCCGAUGGGAGCCCAGACAUCAGACCGGCUGCAGCAGUUCCGCAAGCGCUACAAGGAGUGGGACGACCCGCACAACGAGACGGUCCCUUGCCACUACGGCACCCACUACUCGUCGGCCAUGAUCGUCUGCUCCUACCUGGUCCGGCUGGAGCCCUUCACCCAGCAGUUCCUCCAGCUGCAGGGUGGACACUUUGACUUGGCCGACCGGCUGUCCACUCGAUCAGGGAAGCCUGGUGGUCGGCUGCCCAGCUCAACAUGGCCGACGUCAAGGAGCUGAUCCCCGAAUUCUUUUACCUGCCCGACUUUUUGGUCAACGCCAACCGGUUCGACCUGGGCUGCAAGCAGAGCGGCGUGGCCCUGGACGACGUCGUCCUGCCGCCCUGGGCCAAGAACGACCCGCGCGAGUUCAUCCGGGCCGCCCUAGAGAGCGACUACGUCUCUCAGUACCUGCAUCACGAAUGGAUCGACCUAAUCUUUGGCUACAAGUUCGGCAAGGGACGGCCAUCGUCGAGUCCGUCAACCUCUUCCACCCGCUCUUCUACCAGGGCAACGUGGACAUUGACAGCAUCGAAGAUCCGCUCAAGAAGAACGCCGUCAUCGGAUUCAUCAACAAUUUCGGCCAGACGCCCAAGCAGCUCUUCAAGAAGCCACACCCUCCAGCAAGAAGGUGGGCGGGGCCGGCAGUCGCAUCAGCGGACUGGAAAUGGCUUUGCCUCUAGCCGGACAGGCUGCCAUGCAGAUCCUGCCUCUGCUGCCGUCUUUGGCUUCCGGCUUCCAUUCGGCGGCCCUUGGCUCCACCUGUGGUCCAUCAACGGCGACCCGCUGGCCAGCGGGUUUUCUCCAUCUGUUUCUCCAUCUUCCGGUUGCAGGUUUCAAGUGGCAGAGGCAAUUGAUUUUCCGGACGAAAUUGAAGUUGAUUGACGGCCUACGAUCGCCAAGACAACACACAGCGAACCUGCGUCCUUGACAUCUCUGGCCAUUUCCAAGGACAAUCGAACUGUAUUGGUGGGCGACGCCCGCAUCCAUUCGUGGAGCGUGACCGACGUGACGGGCCGCUCGGUGGCCGACCAUUGGCUCCGCGACGACACGGUCGAAACGUGCACCAAGUGUCGCGUGAAAUUCUCGUUGACUGAGCGCCGACAUCACUGCCGCAACUGCGGACACGUCUUCUGCUCCCGUUGCAGUCGCUACGAGUCUGAAAUUAUGCAAUUGAGGAUCCGCCGGCCGGUGCGGGUGUGUCAGGAGUGCUACGCUUCUUUAAAAAUGUCCAGCGAUGGAACUUCUUAAUUUUCGACUGUCAAAAGACGAAGAGAUGUUUGACUUAACAAAAAAGAAAAUGGGCUAAUCUGUCAGAGAGUAGUGAAUCAAUGUCCAGUUAUGUAACGACACCCGCCCUUUGGCCCAAUGGAUCAGGGGGCGGGGCAAUUUAUAUCACAGGCUGAUAUCAGGUGUGUAGUGAUGAUUUCUAAAAAUUAGGGUUUUUCAAAAACGACAGUCGUGUUUUAGCAGAUGAUGUUUAUACAAUCGAUAUUCCAAUCGGCCCCUUUUAUUACCCUCCGGUUUGCACACAAUCAAAUGCAUUUUCCUUUAUUCUUUUAAAUCUGAUUAUUAUUUGAGAGAGAAUUUGACUAUUGGGGCAGAGUAGAUUGACUGUGUACUUGUGUAGCUUCCCCCCUCAGACGAGAAAGAAAAGAAAUGAAAAACAAGAAAAUUUCUUAUUUAUGAUUUCAAGUAGCGAAAUCCAAUGUUUCUGUACACACAUUUGACUCCUCCCACUCUUUGGCUUUUGCAACCCCAUUCGACGACGAUAAAGAACCGUGCCGUUUCUUUCUUUUUCGUGUUUCGAUUCUGUUUGAUUUCGUGUUUCCUUUCCCGUCAACUAAGAAAAAAGAAAAACAUCUCCUGCCUUUUUGCGACGCCCCACAGUCCAUCACACACACAAGAAAUGAAAAGAAAAAUUAUAAAAAAAAUAUUUGACCGUGUGCGCGUAGUGAGUAUUUGUGUGCAUGUAGACCCCACCCACCCAGCCCAGCAGAAAAAAAAAGGAAAAAACAAAAGUUGUUGGCAUUAUACAUGUUGUUUGUAUAAUAACAUUGUCGUCACCUCGUCAGUGUCAAAUUGAAAAAAAAAAACUGUUUGAUCGGGAAAUCUCAAUCCCUUUGAGGGAGAACAAAAACAAAAAAAGAAU